AGUCGAAACGGCGGGAAAUCGCCGUCUGUCGGGAAUGGCCGCCCGGCACUGAAGAGACAGGCUAGA
rnacentral:hammerhead_ribozyme from 1 species